rnacentral:rRNA from 1 species
CCUACGGGUGGCAGCAGUGGGGAAUCUUCCGCAAUGGGCGCAAGCCUGACGGAGCAACGCCGCGUGAGUGAAGAAGGUCUUCGGAUCGUAAAGCUCUGUUGAAGGGGACGAACGUAUAUAGUGCGAAUAGUGCUGUGUAAUGACGGUACCUUUUGAGGAAGCCACGGCUAACUACGUGCCAGCAGCCGCGGUAAUACGUAGGUGGCGAGCGUUGUCCGGAAUCAUUGGGCGUAAAGGGAGCGCAGGCGGCCAUGUAAGUCUUGCUUAAAAGUUCGGGGCUCAACCCCGUGAUGGGCAAGAAACUAUAUGGCUUGAGUGCAGGAGAGGAAAGCGGAAUUCCCAGUGUAGCGGUGAAAUGCGUAGAUAUUGGGAGGAACACCAGUGGCGAAGGCGGCUUUCUGGACUGCAACUGACGCUGAGGCUCGAAAGCCAGGGGAGCGAACGGGAUUAGAUACCCUGGUAGUC